UACGUAGGGGGCAAGCGUUGUCCGGAUUUAUUGGGCGUAAAGAGCGUGUAGGCGGUUAGGUAGGUCCGUUGUGAAAACUCGAGGCUCAACCUCGAGACGCCGAUGGAAACCAUCUGACUAGAGUCCGGAAGAGGAGAGUGGAAUUCCUGGUGUAGCGGUGAAAUGCGCAGAUAUCAGGAAGAACACCCGUGGCUAAGGCGGCUCUCUAGUACGUGACUGACGCUGAGACGCGAAAGCGUGGGGAUCAAACAGG
rnacentral:rRNA from 1 species